UAGAAUAUGAGAAGAAUGAGUUUAUUACUUUCUUUCUUGAAUGAAAACAAGUUCAUAAAGCUCUCUUAAAUAGACCUGUACAGGUAGAGCAACACUAAGCUAGAAAACAGGAAAAUCACUUGAAAAUAGGAACAAAACAAACAAUCCUAACGGUAACAAACAUGAAUUUAUUCUGACCCAGUAAAACAACUAAACAAGAGAAACUUGGUCCCAUCCUUUCUCUGCGUUACAGUGGUUGUAUCAUUCUACCCACCUUGUUUGUCUCCUUGUCCUCAAGGACGGAAAUCUGAAUACGAACGAAGGAACCUCCACUUAUUUUCCCAUGUGGCAUCUUCAGCUGGAGCACCCAUCCAUUUUACAAGAAUUUCUUCUUUUGGAUGAUAACGACCCUUUUGAAUUAUAUGGCUAUCAAGCACUGCUUCUGGUUGAGGCUUUAAAGUGAAGUCUUUCGCCACGGGCGAUAGCUUGGGCAUCACAGUUACUGAAGAUCCCAUACAUUUCUUAAGCAGGCUAACGUGAAAGACAUUGUGAAUUUGGGACCCUUCUGGCAGUUCUAAACGGUAAGCCACAGGACCAAUGCGAGCUAAGAUUUUAUAUGGUCAAUAAUAUCUAGGUGACAGCUUAAGUGAGCUUUGAAAAGUAAUUGAUUUUUGACGAUACGGCUGCAAACGUAAAUAGACAUGGUCACCAACGUUGAAUACUACCUCACGCCUAUGUUGGUCAGCUUGAACUUUCAUACGAUUCUGAGCCAUUACCAAGUGAUGGCGUAGUGUCUUCAAAAUUGCAUCCCUAUCUUGUAAACAUUCAUCAACCGCCUGUACCUUUGUAUUAGCUGGGACAUAUGAGAGUAAAUUUGGUGGUGGAAUACCAUAAACUGCUUCAAAAGGGAUGAGACAAGUAGCAUAAUGGACCGUCGUAUUGUAACUAUAUUCUGACAGAUUGUAGGGAAU
rnacentral:lncRNA from 1 species